CUACGGGAGGCAGCAGUGGGGAAUAUUGGACAAUGGGCGAAAGCCUGAUCCAGCCAUGCCGCGUGUGUGAAGAAGGCCUUCGGGUUGUAAAGCACUUUCAGUGGGGAAGAAAGCCUUGGGGCUAAUACCCUCGAGGAAGGACAUCACCCACAGAAGAAGCACCGGCUAACUCCGUGCCAGCAGCCGCGGUAAUACGGAGGGUGCGAGCGUUAAUCGGAAUUACUGGGCGUAAAGCGCGCGUAGGCGGUCUGAUAAGCCGGUUGUGAAAGCCCCGGGCUCAACCUGGGAACGGCAUCCGGAACUGUCAGGCUAGAGUGCAGGAGAGGAAGGUAGAAUUCCCGGUGUAGCGGUGAAAUGCGUAGAGAUCGGGAGGAAUACCAGUGGCGAAGGCGGCCUUCUGGACUGACACUGACGCUGAGGUGCGAAAGCGUGGGUAGCAAACAGGAUUAGAUACCCUGGUAUC
rnacentral:rRNA from 1 species